GUGGCAACUCGAAUGUAUGCGAACGCCCCCCACCAGGUGAGUGGCGAUACUCUUGGCUUGACGAGCAAACCGCUCACCUGUGAGGGACCGCCUGUAGAAACCCUCGCCUUUGUCGUCGUGCUUCGUAAUUAAAAACCUCGGGACCUUGGGCGCUGCUCGACGUCGCCACCGUCGUCCGCAGCACCGGCAACAAGACCCGGGGUUUUUCGCCCUAGCUUGGCGAACACCGAGGCACGACAACAGAUCACAGCCUCUCGACAAGGGUGGGGACCCCCCUGUCGCCCCCCGAGGAGUCGUGUGCUCCACCGGCUUCGGCAUACGGACAAAGCGUUAGUAGAAAAACGGAGUGUAUGCGAAGCCCUCUUUGGAACAGUACCCGCAUGAGACAUUUGCAGCGUUCGGGCUCUUAUCUGUUUGUUUCUUUAUUUCGAGUGGAUGGUAAUUAUAUCGUAUUUGUGUGUCUGGUGUGUAUGCGUGUUGGGGGCGCCUCGUGUAUUAUCUACGUGCCAAUACCGCAGCGUGCUGAAUUUUUAUAUAGUUUAUAGGUUGUAUAGUUUGUAUAGUUUGGAUUUAUAAAGUUAUCAAUUAUAUGUUACCUAUGAUUAAUAAAUUAGAAAUAUC